UUCUUCUUCAGGGUGGGGAAGCUAAAUAUCGCAAGGCUUGGGCUCAAAUAUGUGAAAUCAGCAGGAAUGAAUUUAAUAGGGUGUAUGAACGCCUUGGAGUUGAAUUAGAGGAGAAGGGAGAGAGCUUUUACAACCCGUACAUUCCUAAUGUCAUAAAAGAAUUGACUGAUAAGGGCUUAGUGGAAGAAAGCCAGGGCGCUCGUGUAAUCUUUAUUGA
rnacentral:misc_RNA from 1 species